rnacentral:rRNA from 1 species
UAGUAACUGCGAGUGAAGCGGGAAGAGCUCAAAUUUAAAAUCUGGCGUGCCUUUGGCCGUCCGAGUUGUAGUCUGGAGAAGUGUUUUCUGCGCUGGACCGUGUACAAGUCCCUUGGAACAGGGCGUCGUAGAGGGUGAGAAUCCCGUCUUUGACACGGACUACCAGUGCUCUGUGAUGCGCUCUCAAAGAGUCGAGUUGUUUGGGAAUGCAGCUCAAAAUGGGUGGUAAAUUCCAUCUAAAGCUAAAUACAGGCGAGAGACCGAUAGCGAACAAGUACCGUGAGGGAAAGAUGAAAAGCACUUUGGAAAGAGAGUUAAACAGUACGUGAAAUUGCUGAAAGGGAAACGCUUGAAGUCAGUCGCGUCUGCCAGGACUCAGCCUCGCUUCUGCUUGGUGCACUUUCUGGUUGACGGGCCAGCGUCGAUUUUGAUCGUCAGAAAAAGUUGAAGGGAAUGUGGCACCUUUCGAGGUGUGUUAUAGCCUUUCAUCACAUAUGGCGGUUGGGAUCGAGGACCGCAGCAUGCCUUUAUGGCCGGGGCUUUGCCCAUGUAACGUGCUUAGGAUGCUGGCUUAAUGGCUUUAAGCGACCCGUCUUGAAACACGGACCAAGGAGUCUAACAUGCCUGCGAGUGUUUGAGUGGUAAAACUCGAGCGCGCAAUGAAAGUGAUAGUUGAGACCUCUGUUGUGGAGGGCAUCGACGCCUGGACUUGAUCUACGGAGACGGUUCCACGGUAGAGCAUGUAUGUUGGGACCCGAAAGAUGGUGAACUAUGCCUGAAUAGGGUGAAGCCAGAGGAAACUCUGGUGGAAGCUCGUAGCGAUUCUGACGUGCAAAUCGAUCGUCAAAUUUGGGUAUAGGGGCGAAAGACUAAUCGAACCAUCUAGUAGCUGGUUCCUGCCGAAGUUUCCCUCAGGAUAGCAGAAACUCAUAUCAGAUUUAUGUGGUAAAGCGAAUGAUUAGAGGCCUUGGGGUUGAAACAACCUUAACCUAUUCUCAAACUUUAAAUAUGUAAGAACGGGCCGUCAC